GUAUUUGCGUGCGCGCUUUGCUUGAGUUUAUUACUGUUGUUACUGGUAUUGUGACAACAAGCUCAGUGUGUAUGUGUGUGGAUUGUGCGUUGCCGCGUGGGUGUGUUUGUGUGUAUGUGUGUGUGUGUGCGUGUGUGUGUGUGUGUGUGUGUGUGUGUGUGUGAGACAGGACUGUGGAGUGGGAGGGUGAGAAAGAAAAAUAAAACGCAAUGGCAACCGGGGAAGACUAUUCCCGCCACCAAGCUCAGCUGUGGAACGAGUGAAGGAAGCAUUAACUUCGAGCAGGUCGACCUCGGCAGAGAGAAUUACAUCUCCCCUACGUCUCCUGAUCACGGUCACGUGACCGCAGCAGGAAAGGAACCACUUCUCCAGCGCUGCCCGCAGGUCUACGGGCCCAGUGCCAGCAUAUAGGUUCUCUCCAGUGUCCUCCAGGUCUGGGUUGUGGUUCCAGAUGCACUUGGCAGCGUAUCCCUCUGCCAGCAGCUUCAGUGUUGGGUCCCAUUUCUGAAGAAGCAGUGAGUGAGUAAAGGCUUCAAAGGACACGAGGCCCAACACCUGGCACCUAUGGUGAAACGACUGACUCAAAUGACUGACUGGGAGGAAUUCUGGAGUCUUGGAAACAUCCACCUCCUCGUGGUAUACACCACUCAGGCCAGUUUUAAAAGCAGAACACUUAUCGUAUGGCGCAUGAUUUGAGAGCGUUAACGAUGUAACAAACACACCAUUGUUACCUCUACCAGACCCCCACAGAAUGUUGUCUACAAUCACACCUGAUUUGAAAUACUUCACAGCGAUAAAUUUCGCAAAUGCAUUCUUCUGUGUCCCACUCACACUCGAGUGUAGACACUUGUUUGCAUUCAGAUAUCAUUGACACACUUUGCAAUACACUAGGUUGCAACAAGGCUUAAAAAAUUCACCUGGAAUUUUUAAUCAAUGUUUGAAAUCAUUGCUACAGGAGCUAAAACUUCCAUACGGAUGUAAACUCCUGAUGUAAGUUAAUGAGCUCCUGUUGGCAACCCCAAGAGCAGAGUCAUGCUUAAUGAUGUAACAAAGACACCAUUGUUACCUCUACCAGACCCCCACAUAAUGUUGUCUACCAUCACACCUGAUUUGAAAUACUUAACAGCGAUUGAUUUGGCAAAUGCAUUCUUUUGUGUCCCACUCGCACCCGAGUCACUCACACCUGUUUGCAUUCAGAUAUUGGGGACACAAUUUCAGUACACCAGGUUCCCACAAGGCUUCAAAAAUUCACCAGGAAUUUGUCAUCAAUGUUUGAAAUCAUUGCUGUAGGAUCUAGAGCUCCCAGAAGGAUGUAAACCCCUGAUGUAUGUUGAUGACCUGUUGGCAGCCCCAAAAGCAGAGUCGUAUUUGUCUCGAACUAAACUUGUUUUGCUUCGUUUGCAUGAGCUGGGAUUCAAAGCUUCCAGAAAGAAGCUUCAGUGUUGUCGCAAAUCGGUGACUUUCUUGGGCAGAGUGGUGUCAUCUGAAGGAUCCACUAUGUCCUCGGAGCAUCGUUCCUCUACAGCACAAACGUCCUGACACGGUGAAGGAGAUGCUUGCUUUUCUUGCAGGCACUAUCUUCCAUGCUUUGCAGAUCACUCCGCUCCCCUCAAACACAUUGUGAAAAACCAAGGUUACAGACACCUUGCUACCAAAUUGGAGUGGUCAGCGGAGUCCAUACCACUCUUGUACAUGAUCUCACAUCAGCAGCAUUUCUGGCUUCCCCGAAUUACACCAUCCCAUUUCACUGAGAUGUUACCGUCACACCUACCAUUGUGAAUGCUACUUUGUAUCAGAAGAGGGAUGGAAAGCGUCAUGUCCUGAUGUAUUGUAGCAUUCCACCUGAUCCACUUGAGGCCAAAAGCCCUGAAUGCACAAGGUUUGCAGCUUGCCAAAGUUAUCCAAAAAACUGCACACAUGGUAAUGUCAUGUCCCCUUCUGGUCCUUACUGACCACUUGGUGACUGCCUACGUUGCCUCAUCAGCAUUCACACUAUCUUCGUUGAGGCAAACACGCCUGUUUAAAAUUCUCACGGCAUCAAACAUCACAUAUGUACACACAGGCAUUAACAUGACUGACGAAUUGCAUGUAGACCCACACUGCUGUGAAAUUGGUGUAACUGAUGCUCUUCGUCCACGUGCUGAUCUCUAUGUCCAACCUCUGACUAACGGCAGAGUCCUGUUCACUGAUGGUUGCUGUUACCGUCAGCCGGAUGUCUCUUUGGCUGCGCCGGCUGCUGUAGUGGAGCAGCAGCCCUCAGGUGAAUUUUUAACUGUUUCCUCUUCCGUCCUAACAUCUGCUGGUGGUCGGGCAAUCUGUCACUCUCUAUUCUGACUUAUCUUACGCUGUCCCGGUGUUGGACCUGUCUGGAUGUAAUUGGAAUGACUUUAAAACAUCCAAAGGUGCUGCACAUUUGAAGAUAUUGCAUAUUUGAUACUGAUCCAACGAUUAGACAAAGCCAUGGCCAAACUUUCGGCGGUGGCUAUCGUCAAGUUCCCUGGCCAAACCAAAUCCACUUCAACGACAGCCCUCGGCAAUAAUGCUGCCGACUUGGCUGCCAAGCAGGCUGCGGGCUAUGUCCCACAGAUGCUUCUCCAAUUAUCUGACAAAUUCUCUCCUGACCUGCCCGAACCUCCGUCUCAUAGUGAAUUGGUUAAAAUACAGCACAAUGCCUCACCUGAACGAAACACUAUGUGGCAUGCUGGCGCAGCCACCCUUGCCCCGGACGGCCUCUGGUUAGGCCUCUAGCCAGUGUUACCUGAUGGACCUUUACUCCGUGAUGUUUUGAACGAAAGUCACUCUAUGGCUCAUAUUGGACCCAGAGCCGUGCUAACCAAACUUCGUGUGUGGUGGCAUUCUAAAAUGUCUGACUUGUUUCAUGCCCACUGUCGUCACUCUAAUAUUUGCCAGCUACACAAUGUUUGCCCCACCCUUAGACUGUUGCCAGGUUCUUUUGACCCACCCAGCUGGCCCAGUGCUGAACUGGUCAUGGAUUUCACAGAUAUGAUCACUCCUGUUCAAGGUAACCGCUACCUUCUUCUUUUUGUUGACACCUUUUCCGGAUGGCCUGAAGCCAGUAAUGAAAGCUUUGGUGAACCACUGGAUUCCAAUGCACCGUUUUCCCGCUCUCAUCCACUCGGACAACAGAACACAUUUCACAUCCACACACCUAGCUACUGUAGAGAAGUGGUUCGGGUUAACUCACCAGUUUGGUUGUGUUAUAUCAGCCCAUCAGUCAAGGUUCAGUUGAAUGUAUGAAUCGAACGUUGAAGGAAAAACUGUCUAAAACAUGUACCUCUUCCGGCCUGAACUGGGUUCAGGCUCUCUCUUGCUCUAUUGUCAGUGAGUGGUUUAUCUCCUUACGAACUUCUUGCAGGUCAUCUGAUGCCUGGGCCUUCCUCCUCAACCUCUGGAGGAGGACGUUGUGUCUCCAAAGUUUUCUCCAAGGUUUUGGACGCAACUGCAUUCUUUUGUUUCUAAUGUCUCCUUACAGAUCCAGGACUCUCUUCCAUCACCACCUCCUGCAGUUGAUUUUCCUGGGUGGUCAUCUGUCUCCCUUAAAUGACUCUCUCGUAAGUGGUCAGAACCCUGUUGGUCUGGCCCCCACAAGGUGACUGCUCAUAUCUCCAAAGCCAUCCUCUUGGAGGGAGAAGGAACUAAGUGGUUUAAUUAUUUUUUGCUUCGCCCUGCUACUGACUCUUAAUUGCACUUUUGUUUUAUUGUUUCUUGUUGUUUUAUUGUUCACCAUGAUUCCUCCCGAUGGUCCGAUUGCUUUUCGGACCAAAAGAGGGAGAGCAGGAAUCCAUGGCAUUCUUAUUAUUACUGUUAUUGUUGUGCUUGGUAUUUUGAUCUGGGAAAUCGCUCAAAAACACCCCAAACUCACACCCACAUCAGUGCCAUCUGUUAGCACAACCCAUCCGGAAAAUAUUUAUCACAAAGAGUCGUGUUAUAAAUAAAGCCCUAUCUGUUGAUGGUUUAAGGUUUUGACAAGCAUUAGCGCACUAAACUAUAAUUGGUUACUAAUGGCAAAACAAGCAGCUAAUGAAAACCUGAAUGACUGUGUUUUAUGUACGGGACUUAGACCUUUGUUACGUGUUGUUUCCUUUUCUCUCAACUACAUCUGUGUUCUAGAUCUUCUGAAAAAUUUGUGCUGAUUAAAAAUGAAUGCAAAAUUUGGGAUACUCCCCACCCGGUAACACGAGCCCACAAAAACAAAUCUGUGUUUCAUCGUGCUGCGGCGCGCCAAAACUUCACCUGUAUUUUCCUUAAAGGUAAUGGUGCCCCAAUUGGCAAUAUCUCUGAUGAUCAGUGUGCAGAGACCCAGGAAACACCUUUCUUUCAACCAGUCAGCCGUGCAGAUGUGUGGUGGUUGUGCAGAGGGGACCGUCUCAUCGACCGCCUCGCGCACAACAGCACGGGCAGAUGUGCAUGAGUAACUUUACUUUUACCUAUUUUCGUUGUGCCUGUCACCCUAGAUUAUCUGGCGGUUGCUCCUGAACACUUCAAGGAAGCCCUUGGCCUAUUACACUGUUCACAUCGGUCCAAACCUACCUGGCUCGAUGCUGACGACCCCACCUACAUUGAUGCUAUUGGCAUCCCCCGUGGUGUCCCAAAUAAACUGGCUGAUCAGGUAGUUGCCUGUUUUGAAAAUAUACCAGUAAUUUCCGCUCUGUUCCCUGUUACUCCUAACAAAAUUGUUGAGCGUGUCAAUUACAUACAUUAUAAUGUGCAAUGUUUGUGGGAUUUCACCCUUAAAUGACUUGAAGCUGUACAUGAGCAACUGAAGGCUCCAUCUAUUAUGGCUUUCCAAAAUAGACUCGCAGUAGAUAUAUGUUAGAUAUAAUAUAAGAUAGAUUGGCCGAGGAAUGUUGUGUUUGCCCAAUAACACCUAACCUGGCAGAUGCCUCACUAAAGCUGGAGAUGGACUUCGUACCCUGACAAAGAAAAUGAAGGAACACUCUGGUGUUGACACGUCUAUGUGGGAUAACUGGAAGAAUGUGUUUGGUAAAUGGAAGGGUGUCAUUUCAUCAAUCUUCAUCUCUCUGGCUGUCUUCAUCUCUAUUCUCACCCCCUGUGGAUGCUGUUGCAUUCCUUAUAUUUGUUCUCUUUUAACCCGUCUGAAUGAGAAGGCAACUGGUGUCCCAGCUGAUGGCCGCGGUAAUUAUGUCCUCAUUAGACCCCCGCCCGACACACUCCUCAAGAUGAUUUUCUGUUGCUGUCACUCCCCUUGACAAUGAUACUAAACUUCCACCACUUCCUGAUUGUCAUGAUGUUGACAUGCCCCGUGAUUGCAUUGUCCUUGCUCAUAUUGUGUGAUUAUUCUGUUCUACUUAUAUUUGAGUGUUGUUUUUUUUUUUAGAAACGUUGUUGUGUUUGAGUUGUCUAGCACUGUCCUGAAGGUUAAGGCACACGGGUGUUCUGAAUCAUGUGAUUGCGCACUUGCUACGAGGUAUGUUUGGAUGACUAGAGAGCGUUUUAUGUUUUCCAUAUUUCUUGAAAUUUUACUUUUGUGAUUUUUGUGUUUGUUUUUGUGAUCUAUUUCAUAGAUCAAGAGAGGGAAUUAAGACUAUUUUACUUUUAUUGUACUUUCAUUAUUUGCUUAAAUCUGACCUUAUACAUUUAAUCAACAGAUAAAGUGUUGUCCAUUUGCUAAUCAGACAAGGAUGUGUUGUGGAGCGCGGUGGCUGUGCUUGGUCUUUGUACGCAGAAAACCGGCUGGUGGCAUCCUCCUCUCUCAGGCCGUAGAGACAAACGACACCAGAUAAGGAGCGGAAAGUUACUAUCCAUGCCCAGGACCAGACUGUGUGUGGGUUAGGGGGGGGGGUCAGCCACUUUUACUAUGGACCCAUACAUAUAAAAACCUUGUGUUACCGAGCAGCUUUUGUCUUCUUCUUGGGUCAUCUUGUCAGAAGACACACAUCCUGUGUGCAGCACAUGCCUAGAUAAGACCCAGACGUCUUUACGGCACAUUCCUUUGUAAUAAAUCAAUUCGCUGUUAACUUUGUCUAAUCAUUCAUCAUCUCUUUCUCGAUCAGCGAACACGCGUAGGGUCCAAACUCGCAGAUCCCUACAUAAUUUUGAUUAAGAAAGAAUGGAGGACUUGAUACUUUUUUUUACUGAGGUCCUGUCCAAGCCUGUAUGUCUCAUUUGUCUAGAAACUGUUUCGGUUUUAAAAGAAUACAACAUCAGCCAUCACUUUUCUACCAAGCAUGCUAAUUACAGCAGCAACCUUUCCACACAAGAAUGUACGGCUAUCACUGACAGGCUAGGAGCUAGCUUGCGGGCUCAGCAAAACACUUUUAUUCAAGCAUCUUUCAUUCCAAGAAGCAAGCACGUAGACAAGUUAUUUACUGGCAUUCAAACAAGAAAAGGCCAACAAGCUUUUCUCUGAAUGCAUGAUAGAGACAGCAAGCAUUUUAUGUCCCGAGAUCAGGAAUAAAUUUUUAAAAAAUUGCUUAUCACGCAGGUCAGUGACUCGCCGUAUUGAAUUGAGGUACACUUAACUAGCAAGCUAAAACAAAAAAGCUGAGUCACUUACAUUAUAUUCUUUGGGACCCAUACAUAUAAAUGAUAUGCAAUGAUAUAAAGGACAUUGCUCAGCUUUUCAUUUUUAUCAGGGAGAUGAAUGAGAAUUUCGACACAACGGAGGAGUUUUUGGAUAUGGAAUCCCUAAAAGAAUAUAUACGUGGAGAGGAUUUAUUUAACAGCAUGUCAACGGUCAUACAGAAGCACAAGUUACCUUGGAGUACGCCUGCCAAGGUUACCACUGAUGGAUCACCAAAUCUGACUGAAAAAACAUUGGGAUGCUCAAGAGAAUUCAGGACAGGGUGAAAGAGAACAACCCUGAGCAGGAGGUGAUUUUUCGACACUGCAUAGUUCACCAGGAGCACUGUGUAAAUCCAUGUUGGAGCUUGACCACAUAUUUAAAACAGUUGUGACAUUUGUUAACUUUAUUCGAGCAAGGGGACUUCAUCAUUGUCCGUUUAUUCAUUUUCUUGAAGAAACUGACGCUGACCACACGAACUUACUUUAUCAUUCUAAUGUCCCCUGGUUAAGUUUAGGAAAAGUAUGUCAAUGUGUGUUCAAACGGAAUUAUUUCAUUUUUGGAGCUACUUGAGAAUACUGACAAUUUUUCUGAGCUGAAUGAUACAGAUUGGCUUUGUGUUUUAGCUUUUACUGUGGAGAUACUGACACACAUUUUAACGAGCUGAAUAUUAAACUACAAGGGAAAAUCCAGUUUGCUCAUGAAAUGCAAGAUAACGUCAAAGCAUUCAAAACCAAGCUGGUUUUAUUUUCUAAGCAAAUGUCAAACAAGUCAUUUACUCAUUUCCCCACACUGGCUACCUUCAAGGAGGCCCCAUGACGUGUCAAAAAUAUAGAGAAUCACUGGAUAACCUGCAUGAGGAAUUAUGCAAUCGGUUUUGUGAUUUUAGAAAAAUUGACAGGACACUUCAACUGUUGUGAUGUCCCUUCUCACACGACGCACAGGAGUUGCAGUUGGAACAGAUUGAUCUCCAUUGUGUCAUGAUGUUAAAGGACAAGUUAAACUCCCUGAAACUGGAUGGGUUUUAUGCUUCAUUAAGUGCAGCCAAAUUUCCAAACAUUCAGAAGAUGGCACAGAGGACGCUAGUGUUGUUUGGCUCUACAUAUUGUCACGUCCCAUCGGAACGAGAGCAGGACCCACAUGCAGGACUCGUAAGAUGCAAGGCAGUUCAAGGAGAAACGUCCAUUAUAUGCCAAAGUUGGGGAUCGAGCAGGCAGUCCGGUGCAGCAGCGAUAGCCGGGAUGCCGGGCGAAGAGAGCAGGCGAGUGGGCAGGCAGGAGUCGGUACACAGGGGAACAAUCAAAGCAGGCAGAAGAAUCAAAGGAGUCAGGCUUACAAGGGUGGUCGGAGAACGGGUGAAGGUCGGUACACACAGGUUCGAUCAGGAAUACUGGAGCACACGAACGGGACAUGAAGCUCAACGAACUGGCGGGGACCAAUCGUCAUCGGGGUGAUAUAAAUACAUAGACUAAUCAGCCCGCAUGAGACGCAGGUGUGCGCCCCAAUCAGCGCAUCCGCGCAGGCACCCGCACAGCUCGUGCUGGAGCGGCAGGAUCAUGACACAUAUGUUUGUGAACAGAUUUUUAGUGUGAUGAACACCAACAAACCACCCCAUACUGUAGAUCUCAGAUGAGUGAUGAACACCUCAGAUCUGUUCUGAGAAGUGCCACAACAAAAUUACCACCAGACUUUGAUGCAUUGGCUAAAAUGGGUGAUCAACAACACUGUUCUCAUUAAAAGAGGCAGCAUGGCAGAGGCACUCGGGAACACCUGCCCUCGGUAAUAAUUGUGGAGCUCAACCAGCAGCUCCUCCUCUUCCUCAUUGAGGAGGCUCCAGGUUCCAGGUGCCAACAGCGUGGCCAGCAGCA